GACAGAGGGUGCAAACGUUGUUCGGAAUUACUGGGCGUAAAGCGCGUGUAGGCGGCUCUGCAAGUCGGAUGUGAAAUCCCACGGCUCAACCGUGGAAGUGCAUUCGAAACUGCAGGGCUAGAGUCCUGGAGAGGAAGGUGGAAUGCCUGGUGUAGAGGUGAAAUUCGUAGAUAUCAAGCGGAACACCGGUGGCGAAGGCGGCCUUCUGGACAGUGACUGACGCUGAGACGCGAAAGCGUGGGGAGCAAACAGG
rnacentral:rRNA from 1 species